ACGAUGAUGAUGGAGAUGUUUCUUGUUUCUUUUCUUGUGCUUUUUUCCUCAUAUGUGUUCUCCAAUAAUUCUUUAUCUCAUUAUCGGUUCGCCCUGGUAAUCUUCUAGCAAUCCGAGACCAUCUGCAUGUGAUUAAAAGGUUACUGAAACACAUACCUAUUUCCCCACUGAGAAUGAAGUUCCAGGACAAGUUUCUCUUCAUGAGGAGUCAUCUUUCCUCUUUUGAGCCCGGGAUGCAGGUAAUUAACCCAUCGCAAGCGGCAGCUCUUACCUGUUCUUUUUAAACCUACAAGACAACUUUUGUUAAUAUGGAUGCUCCUUCUAAGAGUUCCCCAUACUUCAAAUAAGCAUACCUAUUAUUUUUCUCCCGCCACCUUCAAACCUGAAACUUUAGCAAUGAAAUCCCAUCGCCGGUCUCCAAACAAUCCUACAAAGCAGACCAGUUGAAGGUCUUCUUGUUCUGUCCAUGGACCCUUCCGGAUUUCUUCUUGGACCAUUCUGACCUUUUACUUCUGUUUGCUUGAUUGCUUCAGUUAGAUGGAUUUUUUUUAGUAUGGUGUUGUGAAUACCUGGACUGCCUGCUGUAUAUUCCUAAUAUUUAUAUUAAACAAUUUACAAUUUUUUAAACUCAUAAGAUAAUCUUGAUAAUAUUAGAAAAUGUUGAAUUUGAUCAUCAACUUCAUGUGUUCCCCACACUUUUGUCUUUUCAUGGGCAACUUAUGCAUAUGAUGUAAGCCACUAAAUACAAUAAUGUCUAGAAGAAUUGAUAUGGCACUGUUAAUAUGAUUGGCUUUUGUUAUCAUAUCAUUUAUUAAUAUACGUUUUACUUCUUUAUUUACCGAUAAGUAAGCCAUACUAUUGCAUGAGUUUAAACUUUUUUACUUUUUGCGUCUGUACCUUCCUCUCUGUUUUCUUCUUGUUUGUUGUUUCCUUUGUUUCUUUUUUACUUUCGGUUUGAAUAAUAAUUUUUUUGGUGUGUGUGGCUGAGUGUGGCUGGGGCGGUGAAUGCACUGGGUUCAAAUCAAAUUUGAGUUCUCCAUGAGAAAUCUUAAGAAUCAAAUUGAUGGUUUUUCUCAACUGUUGAAAAAUAACCCACACGUGGUCUCAAAUCGAAGAAUUAGAGAGAAAGGUUGACUAACAUAUAAGCGAUGGACUAUUCUUCCUAUUACCAAUUGGUUUGUGUAUAAUCAACGGGUUUUGUAUAAAAGUCUAAAUUUAUCAGUAUGAGUAAAAGCAUUUUCUUAUUAAUUACACAUUGCACAAAAUUGAUUUUUGAAUUAGAAGAAAUUCCCAGUAUAAGAAAUCCUUCUUGGUUUCUGUUAAUUGCGUAAGGUGUUUAUUUUUUAGAUGUAGUUGGUAGAUUAGCGCUUUACCUGUCCAAUUGUGAUGUGCUGGUGGCAUGCCCUUGACAUUGGUGGAGGCCACCAGUAUUAAGCUAGGGCCAAAGGAAAAGAAGAUAAUGACAACAGAUUAAAAAAAAAAGAAGCAAUUAGAUAAAAGCUCAUCUUUUGAUAAUUUGGCUUAUUGGGAGCCUUUUCCCUCUUAGGAUAAGACAAAAUACAUAUAUUUUUUGAUAAAAUACUUUAUGGGCACAGGCAGCUGCUAAUUCAAUGCUUCAAAACCAUUGUCAAUAGCUAUGUAGUGGCUCCUUAAUGAAGCCUAUAAGGCGAUGAUACAAUGUGCAUGAAUGCUUAAUGCUUCCGUUUCAUAAGUUUGAUUAUCUGAAAUAGUUUUAGAGUUCAUUUUAACUUUAUCUGACUCUUAUGUGGUUACCCAUAUUAUGGUUGAAUUCUAGGGAUAAUGCAUUAGGAAGGAAGGCGUAAUCAGUUUCUCGUCUUUCUGAACACUAAUGAACCAUGCACAGUCUGCCUGUUCUGUAUUUCUUUUCUGUCUUUUGAUAGUUUUGUGCUUGCAUUGGUUUAAGAAGCAAGAAUUUUACGAGUAGGUCUACUUGGUGGUUGCAAGGUGGGGUGAGCGAAAAAUUGUUUUUCUCUAUAUCAGAAUCCAUUGAUUAUGAAAGGAUAAAAUAGUAAACCAUUUAUUUCCUUCCAUUAAAUGAGAUGAGUGUACUUAACAGGCAUUGCAUCGGCAUUUUUACAAUUACAUUGACCAGUUGGUCUAAUAUGAAUAUGCAUUUUAAGAUUCCUUUACCAAAGUGUUUUUUGCAUUUUUAACUAAGUUGGAAGGUAUUCAAGACAUUUUGAUGAUAGAUUAGGGUUUACAUCAGUUGCUUUGAAUACUACUGGCUAGCAGUGGAGUUUACGUGAGAAGCUGUGAAGCUUUUUAUAUGACAAAGAUGGUUUAAUUUGAGGACUAAUAUGUUGGGCUAUAAUAACCUGUAAUCACAAAAUAUUAACUGAUAGUAGUGGUGUCAAAUUUUACCCCAGAUAAGGCUCAUAGUUUUAGACAUAUUUAGUUGAGUUUGGUUACUUCGAUGAUUUAUUAACUUUGUUUUCAUUAGUUUUUUUGAUUAAUUUUUUCAUCAAUCUAAUUUUUAUUAUUAGGAGUGAGAUCUUAGUUUUAAAAAGCGCACCAGCCUCAAUUUCCACCUUGUGCGCCUCGAGCUCAGGCUCAGCUGCAAAACACCUUAGAUAGGUGAGAAAAAGCUCACUACAAGAGCCUUGGGCGCCUUGAAAAAUGAAAAAACAUGCAAAGAAGAAAAUAAUCUUUGAAAAUUCUUCAUAUUCUCAUUAUAUUAGUUUUGUGCUAGAGUGGUGUUUACCGCAAGGAUAUGAAUGUUUUUAAGCUCGUUGAUUCUAAAAUAUGAAUAUCAUGUUGUUUAAAGUAUUAUAUAUGUUUUAAAAAUGGAUUUUUAAGCUUUAGCAAAAAAGUGCACAUAGUCUACAAAAUGCUUACGCCUUCGCCUUACGCUUUGCGCCUAGACUUUAAUGAAUUUGCAACUCUGUACCCCUUGUGCUUUAUAAAAAUAAGGGUAAGAUCAUGAAGUGAUACCAUUUUUUAUUUAUUCUGUUUCGUUUUAUCUCAGCCUCCCACCUAUGGAUUUAAUACAACUCUUUAAUCAGGCCAGUCAUAUUAGGAAGAAUAUUUUGAUUGAUUUUGGUGCAUUUGAAGAAGCAACAAAAGUGAUCUAUCUUAACUUGUCUAUUUUCUGAAACUUAUUUAUCCUUGAUUUUCAAUCUUCAAAUGCUUUGUUAUUUGAAUCAAUUCCUCUGAAAGUGCCAUUUAGUUUAGUCCCCGUAGAGAUCAGGUAAACAUGAUACCUGGUUGACAACAGAGAAAAGGCUUGGAAUUCUAUGAUUGGUGCCAUCUCUCGGAAUCUCAAAUAUUUUUUACUUUUCAGGAACUUGUUCUACUAUGGAUUUUAUUUACUCGAGGAAUUGGAGGUAGCACUAAAUGAGGGCUAGAUAAGAAGAUGUCACUAUAUGGGAUAAGACUGCCGUAAUGGUGCGUGUUUUACUCACCACAAAUGCGAAACCUUGAGAUUUAAUUAUAACCCUUGAUAUGUUGAUAUAUUAAGAGUGGACCACUUGCUUUUCUCAAAGGGUAUGGCAAUUCUCCUUAUUUUAGAGAUUAGUUAUGACUACAAAAUACACAUAGUCGUGUUGUGUUGGAUCCCAUUCUGCUUCUUUGUUUUAUUGGUGCUAAUUUAUGAGGAUGGAACGCAUGAUUAAUACUGUUUCUGGAAUGAUAAUGGUAUUACAGUCUAUUUAGGAAAUAAGUGUCUUUGCAUCACUGAUUAAUCUACAUCUCCUUAAUUCUAGGAUUUUGUCGCCUAGUAUAAUCGUUAAAGGAAGUUCUGAUAGUGGCAUUCAUGAUAUGUAUGCAACAUUAGUGUUUGUUUGGGCUUGUUUCCUAAAGAAUCGUUUUGAGGGUCAUGAUAAGUAUGCAUAAGAAUAGAGACUAGAAGCAAUAACCUGUUUGUUAAUGGGAAGGCUGAAAAGCCAAGGUAGUUAUCAAAGAGCCAUAUAUAGGAUUAAUUAUUGUAUUAUUGGUGGAUCCUUCUUGCUUACUGUGUAAUCGUCAAGGGAAAUAGGCUACUCAUGUUGUCCUCUUCUAGCUAUAAAUCACAGCCUUCCAUAUUUGUUUUUUAUUAUUCCAAAUAUGCACCUUCUGUUUGAAAAUAGUUGUUCCACUUCCUCUUUGUAGGUCUUUUUUAAGAGUUAUGGUUGAAUUUUAUUUGUUUUAAUAAUAUGUGAUCAUUCAACACCCUCCAACAGCUUCUUUCCUUUUUGUGAAUUGUAUUGGGUUUAUAAUUCUUUUAAGUUAUGGUUAAUGUAUAGAGGAAAAGGAAACUGAAUUACUUACAUGGUCACCCUUUAUAUUUGUGUCAAAAGUGAUUGGUAAACUUAUUUUUGUAUUUAGGAAAUAUUAUUUUGAGGAAUAAUUAGAAAAGCCAAAUUAAUUUCAUGUUAAACAAUCAUAGUUUAUUUUUAAUUUAUUUAGCCCGGAAUUGUUUAUAAAUUUUUUUAGUAAAACUUACUAAUCAUAUAAUUAAAGAAAAAUUAUCCACAAUAAUCCAGCCUUUCUUCCAUUUUCCUAUAAUAAUCAUAACUAUCAAUUAACCAUGAAUAAUACCAUGUAGUAUGUCAUUUAACCAAUACUAUUGUUAGCAAAAUUUUGACCAAUUAUUGCAAGUCACAUUUUAGCUAGUUGUUGCAUAUUCAUCUUCCUCAUUCAUAUUCAUAAUUCAUUAAACCAUUGUACUUAUUCAGUACAUUUCAAUUUCUUCUCAUUUCCUUUCUUCUUCCUUAUUUAUCCAUUUUACUCCAUUAAAAUCAAAAAUAUGCACUCUUGCUCAUUUUCCUUGCUUCUCUAUUUUUUUCUCAUUUCAUUCAAACAGCCCCUCUCUCUCAUGCCAUAAUAGUUUCACCAUAUGCAAGUUAUAUAUCGAGCCAAACAUAGAAUUCACACUUUAUUCAACAACAUACAUCUAAAAUCAUAGCUUAAAUUAACUAAUAUACUCACUAAUCAUAAAUUUAGAACAAAUUAAGACAAGAAUCAACUAAUGUAUGUACUAAUGAUAGAAAUUAAAAACAAAGAAUUUAUUAAGCAACAAAAUGAUAAUAAGUAAAAUAGAGAUAAAUACCUAAUUGAUGAGAUUUUAAUAAAUACCAACUAGAUAAAUGAGAACAAUCAAUGAUGAAUAAGUAUGAAGAAAAAAAUUGAAAUCAAAUGGAAAAAUAGUAUUGCAAUUGCUUAAAAAAAACCUUGAAAGUCUAAUAAUGAUCUAGGUUAUAACUAACUGAAAAAUACAAAUUAAGUUUAAUAAAACCAUUCGGUACUGAUGGGCGUAAUUAAUCAGCAAAAAGGAAAAGGAGGUCUUCUUCAAUGGUGCAUCAAUGAAGGUCCAGAUCUUCUUUAAUGGUGGUAUAUGGUUGGAGGGAAUUAAUGUUAAUGAGGAAAUGAUAGUGAACAGGAAGUGAAAGGUAAAAAGGUAAGUAAAAAAAAAAGUAAAAAAAAGGAAAUUUAGUUUAAAUAAUAGAAACCGGUUGUAGGUUACCUAACAAUAGUUCCGGCUAAAUGACAUAAUACAUGAGAUUAUUUAUGGUUAAUUGAUAGUUCCUAUAAUUAAUUAAGUUUGUAAAAACAUUAUGUAGUGAGAUUUUUUUAUUCAAAAUGGGGGAUCAAUAUUAUUGUUUUGCCAAAGACUUUUAAAAUGCGAUUAGAAACAACCUUAUUUAGAUGAUCCACACCCAGGCAACUUGGGUCGGGUUGGGAUCCAUCUUCCGGUUGAUUUUACCAUUCAAAUAUCUCUAAAAGCAACUUAAAUAAUUUGAAAGACUAAUAAAUUAUUGUUGAGAUGAAAUUUAAUUGUCUAAAACCGCUUAAAAGGUUUGAUAUUGUGACUUGCCUUUUUAGUAGAUCUAAGUGAUUAAUCCUGAGUGCUAAUUUGGAUACACCAUUAGAGUAUCAUGUUUGUCAUAGUCUCUUUCUUGUGUUGGGUUGUAUCAUAUAUGUAUGUUUCUAGCAUAUUUGUAUGAUGUCGCUAUAAGUAGGUGACUUGGUGCAAUCCUUCUAGCAUUUACAUUGUUUUUGGAUGGAGAGAUUUGGAGGGGAAUAAUUUUGUUUGUUUGAAUAGCAGGAUUUGAAAGAAAGGAGGAUAGAGGGACUAAUGUCUCUAAUUUUGUUAAUAACCAAAGCUUUUCAAAAAGGGGUUGAUUUGAAAGGAAAAUUAACUAUUAAAUAGACAAUUGUUCAUAUUCAAAGUUUUUUAAGCUUUCAUUAAAAUGUGUAGCGAUAUAUUGCUAGUAUAUAAUUUAUUUAGAAUUUGUGUACUUUAUUUUCCUUUUAUUUACCUUUAAUUUCCUUCUAUUUACCUUUAAUUUCCUUCUUAUCCAAAUAAUGGAAAUUUUCAUCACUAAUCCCUCUCCUUUUUUUCUCUUCUCUUUUUUUCCUUUCUCUUUGUUUUCUAUCCCUCCUAAGAUCUUAUCCAAACAUAUGUUAAAGGUGACAAGGUUUGCCCAUUUUGUAUGCCAACUAUUGCUAAGCUAGUAAAAUAACCAUACUUUCAUGAUUCAAUUGUUCUUGAAGAAUUUGAUAUAUUUCGUUAUUUUUAAUGCUCAAUGUAUAAUGUGAGCCGUUAUUUAUAAUAAAAUAAUUAAAUAGAAAAUAACUAUUAUAAAGGAUAUGAAAAUAAACUAUUAAAAAAUAAUAAUUAAUUUUUUCAAUAAAAAUUCUACUUUCUAAUACUCCCCUUCAAGUUAAGUGGUAGGAUUUUGAACUCCCAACUUGUAUAGAGUUUCUUCAAAUGCUUUUGAUGCAUCGUGAGAUUAUCAACUAUUUAGUCUUUUGAUCUCACAAAAGGUAGGCUGAUGAUUUUCCCUAUAAGAUUUUCUUUUAUAAAAUGUUGAUCUACUUCAACUUGUUAUGACUUUUGUACGGUCAUGUUGGAGUGGAUUUUCAAAAAUGUUGAUUGUUGCCUUGUUAUCACAAUAAAGUUGACAUGUUCAUUUUGAGGGAAACAAAGUUCAUUCAUCAACUUCAUGAGCCGUAUAAUUUUUGUAACUCUUUUAGCAAUUCCUCUAAAUUCUGCUUCUGCAUUGGAUAAGAGAAUUAUCUUUUGUUUCUUGGUUUUCAACAUAAUUUCAUAAGAUGUAUUUGUGGAUCUAUUUCAAUAACUUUAGCAAUUUUAGUUGAUUUUCUUCCAUUUUUGUCACCUGCUCAAUUUGCAUUUGUAUAAGCCAAUAAAUCUAGUUGAUUUUUUUCUCGAGUAAAAUACCCCUUCCCCUAAUUCUUUCAACGUAUAUUAUUCUCAUCAUUGCUUCAUAAAAUGCAUAAAUCUACUUACUACUCCCACAACAUAUGUAAUAUCUUGUUUAGUAUGAGAAAGAAUAAUGAAUUUCUAAUAUCUUGCCUAAUAUGAGAAAGAUUUAUGAAUUUACCAACUAUUUUCUGACAUUGUACUUUAUCAGCUGGAGUUGCUCCUUCAAUAAGCACACAAGUUCCACACAUUUUAAGAUAUUUAAGAUAUUGUAAGGGGUUAAAAAAGAUGUUUAGAUACCCUAAGGAAGGAUGUUUUAAGCAACGUUGCCGUAUCCAUAGAUUUUGUUCGGUGGAUCCAUAAGCUAGCAUUGCAUGACCAGCUGGAAUCACUUCAUCAACAUAAUGCAAUUUGCCUCGUUUAGUACCAUACCCAAUAAUAUUUCUCUUCUUGCACAAUAAAAUUAUCUAGAAAACAUUAAAACAGUGUAAUCUAGUUUUUUAAUUUACUGGCUAAUUAAAAGUAGUUUAUGAGAUGAUUUUAGAAUUAUGAGACAAUUUGUUAAACAAAAAUUAGGUGUCACUUCAACAGUUUUUGCACUUUUAAUGUCAACAAUAUCACUAUUAGCAGUAUGAAUAUAGGUUCUUUCUGAAGAAGUAAAAGAUUGUAUUUCUAUAUGGUUAUAAGUUAUAGUAUUCGUUGCCCCACUAUUAAAGAUCCAUUUGUUAGAAUCAGUAAGGCAAGAUAAGCCAUAAUUUAUUGGUGGUUUGAGUUUGGAAUAAAAACAUCUGUGGGUUGGAGAGAAUCUUUGGUUAUUCUAAAUUAUUUGCCGGUUGAUGAGAUUAGAUCCUGUUUUUGUGGAUUUAUAGAGAUAUCUUUUUUCUUCCUCUCUUCUUGUCCUUCUCUCUCUUUCGCCAUAUUUUCAUGAUUUGAAAGAAGUUUGAGAUUAUGAAGGACAUUGAGUUUUGAUUUUAUGAUUUGUGAGGGAGCAACUAGAGCAACUAUGAUUUUGAGUUAAUUUCCUCCUUUUGUUAAUAAUCAUGAUCAACUUUAGAAUACUUUAUCUUUGUUGGAGGGCAUUUAAUGAUGUGGAAAAGCAAGAAAUAAAAGAUUAUUGCCUUAUCAAAUGUAGUUUUCUAAGGAGUUAUAUAUGUUUUAUGGCUCAAGAGUUGCAUAAUUAGUUUUGUUUAUUUGGUCGGUCAAAAGGACCAAAUUUUUGUGAGAUUUUGGUUAUUUGAACUGAUUUAUUGUGUUAAACCAACAAUUUAGGUUUUAAAAAUAAUAAUUUUUAAUCUUUUUCAGUUUUUAGAGAUUUUUUUCGUA